rnacentral:rRNA from 1 species
CGAGAAUCUAUGGAAAGAGGAUUCGUCCAAUUGAAAUAGAGGACAGUGGCGGACGGGUGAGUAACGCGUGAGGAACCUGCCUUUCAGAGGGGGACAACAGUUGGAAACGACUGCUAAUACCGCAUAACACAUAGGAGUCGCAUGGCUCUUAUAUCAAAGAUUUAUCGCUGAAAGAUGGCCUCGCGUCUGAUUAGCUAGUUGGUGAGGUAACGGCCCACCAAGGCGACGAUCAGUAGCCGGACUGAGAGGUUGAACGGCCACAUUGGGACUGAGAUACGGCCCAGACUCCUACGGGAGGCAGCAGUGGGGAAUAUUGGGCAAUGGGCGCAAGCCUGACCCAGCAACGCCGCGUGAAGGAAGGAGGCUUUCGGGUUGUAAACUUCUUUUGUCAGGGACGAGUAGAAGACGGUACCUGACGAAUAAGCCACGGCUAACUACGUGCCAGCAGCCGCGGUAAUACGUAGGUGGCAAGCGUUGUCCGGAUUUACUGGGUGUAAAGGGCGUGUAGCCGGGAGGGCAAGUCAGAUGUGAAAUCCACGGGCUCAACUCGUGAACUGCAUUUGAAACUACUCUUCUUGAGUAUCGGAGAGGCAAUCGGAAUUCCUAGUGUAGCGGUGAAAUGCGUAGAUAUUAGGAGGAACACCAGUGGCGAAGGCGGAUUGCUGGACGACAACUGAC